rnacentral:rRNA from 1 species
CGCCUAACACAUGCAAGUCGAACGAAGUAGCAAUACUUAGUGGCAGACGGGUGAGUAACAUGUAGGUAUCUACCCUUUGGCCUGGAAUAACACGAGGAAACUUGUGCUAAUACCGGAUAAGUCUUUACGGAGAAAGCUUUAUGCACCAUUGGAUGAGCCUGCACUUGAUUAGUUUGUUGGUGGGGUAAUGGCCUACCAAGACUGUGAUCAAUAGCUGAUUUGAGAGGAUGAUCAGCCACAUUGGGACUGAGACACGGCCCAAACUCCUACGGGAGGCAGCAGUGGGGAAUCUUGCACAAUGGAGGAAACUCUGAUGCAGCGAUGCCGCGUGAGUGAAGAAGGCCCUUGGGUUGUAAAGCUCUUUCGUCGGGGAAGAAAAUGACUGUACCCGAAUAAGAAGGUCCGGC